AGUGAACGCUGGCGGUAGGUCUAACACAUGCAAGUCGAACGGCAGCACAGUAAGAGCUUGCUCUUACGGGUGGCGAGUGGCGGACGGGUGAGGAAUACAUCGGAAUCUACUUUUUCGUGGGGGAUAACGUAGGGAAACUUACGCUAAUACCGCAUACGACCUACGGGUGAAAGCAGGGGAUCUUCGGACCUUGCGCGAUUGAAUGAGCCGAUGUCGGAUUAGCUAGUUGGCGGGGUAAAGGCCCACCAAGGCGACGAUCCGCAGCUGGUCUGAGAGGAUGAUCAGCCACACUGGAACUGAGACACGGUCCAGACUCCUACGGGAGGCAGCAGUGGGGAAUAUUGGACAAUGGGCGCAAGCCUGAUCCAGCCAUACCGCGUGGGUGAAGAAGGCCUUCGGGUUGUAAAGCCCUUUUGUUGGGAAAGAAAGGCAGCAGGUUAAUACCCCGCUGUUCUGACGGUACCCAAAGAAUAAGCACCGGCUAACUUCGUG
rnacentral:rRNA from 1 species